rnacentral:rRNA from 1 species
AUACCCUAUUAUUUUUAUUGUAAAUUAGAAAAACCUGAGUAGUAAUAGAUAAUUCUUUAAACUUAAAGAAUUUGGCGGUAUUGUAGUCUAUUUAGAGGAAUCUGUUAAGUAAUCGAUAGUCCACGUUGUAUCUUACUUAUAUUAAUUCUUGUAUACCGCUGUUUGGAAAAUACUUUAAGGUAAAAUUUUCAUGAGUAUGAAUAAAUAAAGAUUUCAAGUCAAGGUGCAGUAAUAUAUAAGUUGUGUAAUGGAUUACAAUAAAAUUUAUUUAUAAUGGAUAAAAAAUUAGAAUUUAAUUGAAGGUGGAUUUAAUUGUAAUUUUAUGAAGAUUGUUAAAGUGAUCAAUAGCUCUAUGAUAUGUACACAUCGC